rnacentral:rRNA from 1 species
UACGGGGGGGGCAAGCGUUGUUCGGAAUUACUGGGCGUAAAGCGUGCGCAGGCGGUGAUGUAAGACAGAUGUGAAAUCCCCGGGCUCAACCUGGGAACUGCAUUUGUGACUGCAUCGCUGGAGUGCGGCAGAGGGGGAUGGAAUUCCGCGUGUAGCAGUGAAAUGCGUAGAUAUGCGGAGGAACACCCGUGGCGAAGACAAUCCCCUGGGCCUGCACUGACGCUCAUGCACGAAAGCGUGGGGAGCAAACAGG